UCCGUAGGUGAACCUGCGGAGGGAUCAUUACCGAGUUAUACAACUCAUCAACCCUGUGAACAUACCUAAAACGUUGCUUCGGCGGGAACAGACGGCCCUGUAGCAACGGGCCGCCCCCGCCAGAGGACCCCUAACUCUGUUUUUAUAAUGUUUUUCUGAGUAAACAAGCAAAUAAAUUAAAACUUUCAACAACGGAUCUCUUGGCUCUGGCAUCGAUGAAGAACGCAGCGAAAUGCGAUAAGUAAUGUGAAUUGCAGAAUUCAGUGAAUCAUCGAAUCUUUGAACGCACAUUGCGCCCGCCAGUAUUCUGGCGGGCAUGCCUGUUCGAGCGUCAUUACAACCCUCAGGCCCCCGGGCCUGGCGUUGGGGAUCGGCGGAAGCCCCCUGUGGGCACACGCCGUCCCUCAAAUACAGUGGCGGUCCCGCCGCAGCUUCCAUUGCGUAGUAGCUAACACCUCGCAACUGGAGAGCGGCGCGGCCAUGCCGUAAAACACCCAACUUCUGAAUGUUGACCUCGAAUCAGGUAGGAAUACCCGCUGAACUUAAGCAUAUCAAUAAGCGGAGGA
rnacentral:rRNA from 1 species